rnacentral:rRNA from 1 species
CUGGCGGCGUGCCUAACACAUGCAAGUCGAACGAGGUCGCCUUCGGGCAAUGACCAAGUGGCGAACGGGUGCGUAACACGUGAGGAACCUGCCCCGAAGACUGGGACAACCACGGGAAACUGUGGCUAAUACCAGAUGCCCUCCGCUGAUCGCAUGAUCGGCGGAGGAAAUGCUCCGGCGCUUCGGGAGGGCCUCGCGGCCUAUCAGCUUGUUGGUGAGGUAACGGCUCACCAAGGCAUCGACGGGUAGCUGGUCUGAGAGGACGAUCAGCCACACUGGGACUGAGACACGGCCCAGACUCCUGCGGGAGGCAGCAGUGGGGAAUCUUGCGCAAUGGGCGAAAGCCUGACGCAGCAACGCCGCGUGGGGGAUGAAGGCUCUCGGGUUGUAAACCCCUUUCAGCAGGGACGAAAUUGACGGUACCUGCAGAAGAAGCCCCGGCCAACUACGUGCCGGCAGCCGCGGUAACACGUAGGGGGCGAGCGUUGUCCGGAAUUAUUGGGCGUAAAGAGCUCGUAGGCGGUUUGGUAAGUCAGAUGUGAAAGGUUGGGGCUCAACCCUAAGAUUGCAUCCGAUACUGCUAUGACUAGAGUCCGGUAGAGGAGUGUGGAAUUC